rnacentral:rRNA from 1 species
GAUGAACGCUGGCGGCGUGCCUAAUACAUGCAAGUCGAGCGAACGGACGAGAAGCUUGCUUCUCUGAUGUUAGCGGCGGACGGGUGAGUAACACGUGGAUAACCUACCUAUAUGACUGGGAUAACUUCGGGAAACCGGAGCUACUACCGGAUAAUAUUUUGAACCGCAUGGUUCAAAAGUGAAAGACGGUCUUGCUGUCACUUAUAGAUGGAUCCGCGCUGCAUUAGCUAGUUGGUAAGGUAACGGCUUACCAAGGCAACGAUGCAUAGCCGACCUGAGAGGGUGAUCAGCCACACUGGAACUGAGACACGGUCCAGACUCCUACGGGAGGCAGCAGUAGGGAAUAUUCGGCAAUGGGCGAAAGCCUGACGGAGCAACGCCGCGUGAGUGAUGAAGGUCUUCGGAUCGUAAAACUCUGUUAUUAGGGAAGAACAUAUGUGUAAGUAACUGUGCACAUCUUGACGGUACCUAAUCAGAAAGCCACGGCUAACUACGUG